rnacentral:lncRNA from 1 species
CAGCAUCGGAAUGCUCUGAUUUUGGGUAGCGGGGGAAACCUGUAUAAGAAAGUCUUGGAGUUCCCAUUGUGGCUCAGUGGAAACGAAGCCAACUAGUAUCCAUGAGGAUAUGGGUUCCAUCCCUGGCCCCGCUCAGUGGGUUAAGGAUCCAGUAUUGCCAUGAGCUGCCGUGUAGGUCACAGACGAGGCUCGGAUCUGGUGUUGCUCUGGCUGUGGCGUAGGCCAGCAGCAACAGCUCUGAUUCUACUCCUAGCCUGGGAACUUCCAUAUGCUAUACCUGUGACCCUGAAAAAAAAAAGUCUUCCUGGGGCUUCUGAACUUACUGGGCAGAAUGCCGGCCUAUGCACUCUUCCCACCUGUUCUAUUGUUCUAUGGAGAUAGAAACAAGAAAACUGUGAAAGUCUCUGCUUUUCAUAAAAUAGCUUAACAAAACAUCUCUAUUUCAAAAACAUAAACCACUUGUUAGAGUUAUGGCUUUUCUUAUUUCCUUCUUUGGAAUAUUUCUAUCUGGAGUUUAGAAAGAAAUUAGACUGAACACUGAUGUGAAUCCCAAAGGGAAGAUAUAUUCCUUCUCUAAUGUUUGGAAAUGUCAGGAAAUCAUUUAGAGUGAGUGUCUUUGGUGGAUAAUUAUAAUUUGCAUCCUUGUUGGAUACCGUGUACAUUGUGAGAUCAAUUGCUAACGACCUCCUUAGGGCCAGAAGGUCAUCUUUGGUGACUUAAUCUGACGCCUUAUUGAAGAUGUGCCAAUUCUUCUUCCUCCUCCUCUCCUCUUUUCCACUUCCCCUUCUCCUCCUCCUUUCCUUCUCUCUUCCUCCUCUUCCUUCUCCUCCUUUUCAUUCUUCCUUCCUUUCUUCCUCUCUUUUUGCUUGGCAGAGACUAUGUUCUCUAAGUGACAAACUGGGCAUGACGGAAUAAACUUACCAAAUUAGUCUGAUGAGCACCACAGUAUCUAUUUGCGGUCUUCUGUUUGUUUAAAAGAGGAUUUGGCUAUGCAGCUUCUUUUUCAGCUGAGGUUAUCCAGACUGUCCAGUGUAAUCACUUCCUGUAAAGGAGCCAGUAGCCCUGUGGUCACACAGAUCUGCUUUUCUUUGGUGGAUUUUCCCUUCUUUAAUAUAAAGCAUCUUAGCUUGGAGAAUUUUAAACUCCAGUGUUUGAAGGAUGAAGCAAUGUUGAUUUUCUGAAAAGGAAAAUAAUAGAUAGGCUUAGAGAAAGAAAAAAGGGAAAUAAAUCUCACUGUUAUAGGUCAUGUGGAAAGAAUAAUAAGCAAGCAUAAGGAAGACAGCAUCUGGUGAAUAGGGCUUAUCUAUUAAUGCUUGAGUUAGAGGGAAGAAUUGCCUAAAAUGUGUAAAAACCUACCUGGGAAUAAAGGGAAGCCAGCCCUCCAAGAAUUUGGCAUUUGAGAGGAAGGAAAACAGCUUCUUCCAGAACAAGUUCAAAUGCCUGAGCAAGUCUAUACUGACCAUUUAUAACAUGUUUUAUUGUAGUUAUUAUGCAAGUCCUUUUCAAUAUGGAGUAGUGGAAAAAUUAAUUCUGUUUUGGUCUUUUCUCCUCUUAGAUUUCCUUGUUUCUCAUUUAUUCUUCAUUUCUACAAUUAUUUCUCUCCAUCUUCAUUUCUGGCUCUUUCCACUCUUGAGUUUGUGGUUCUGAAAGGCAGGUGCAGUGUGACAGUGGCCCAGUGCUGAUCACCCUCCAAUAGAUUAUAUUCUCUUUGAUGUCUGCUCCAGAGUUCUGUGCAGGUGUUUGGGAGGAUAGGGCAAAAAACAAUGUUUUCCCUAACAAUUUUGGCGUCUCAGAAAGAAACACAAUUUCACAAAGACAUUGCAGAUUCAGAACAGAUAAAUAUAAAUAUAUAUGUCUAACAAGAGUAAGCAUGGGUAGAUUCAAACUAUUAACUUUAGAAUGCAUAAGCAAUGAGGUCCUACUGUACAGAACCACAUCCCUUCUCUUGGCAUAGAACAUGAUGCAAGAUAGUAAGAGAAAAAGAAUGUGUGUGUGUGUGUGUGUGUAUGACUGGGUCACUAUGCUCUACAACAGAAAUUGGCACAACACUUUAAAUCAGCUAUAUUUUAAUAAAAAAUAAAAUAAAUACAAAAAUAGUAAGCAUUACUAAAUUGAUUUUUUAAUUAUUUGUAAACUUGAUACAGCAAUUGCGAAGGCACAAUUGUUCUUAACUCUUGAGAAUUGUUUUUUUUUUUUUUAAAUCACCCCUAGUUUGUAAAUGAAAACAUUCAGGAAAAGAGAUCAUGGAUCAUAUUCAAAAAAUACAAAUGAUGGAGGCUAUGAAAUAGGAUAAUGGAAGAGAACUUUUAGGUUGGUGCACCUAUAUUUAUUUUUUAAAAGAAAAAAAGCAAAUCAUAACGUAUUUAAGAAGUAAAAAUAGGAGAUUCAAUAAGUAAAAUUGGCAAGGACCUCUGAAAACAAUACUUUAAAUAUCCAAGGAUUGUGUACUCUGAUAAUAUAAGAUCCCAAGAGUGAAAUCGGCAUCUGUCUUGUUCACUGCUCUGUCUCCCAGCUCUCCCUGAGGCACAGUUCAUUGCAUGAAUGAGUGAAUGAAUAUGUAUAUCACAGGGAGAAAUCAUGAUAUGGUUGUCAUUCAGAAGAGUCUCAGAGAUUCCCCACUAGUGCUGAGGAGGGUACACAUGUCAUAGGCUCAUUGGAGUGGGCAUGGGAGGCCAUAAGAUCCGAGAAGUAGUAGAGGACACUCAAGACCUAGACUCUAUUCCUCAUUCGAUGCUAGACAUAGGGAGUCUGCAUUCCCCAUGGCCAGAUUUCCAGUAGGGAAGAGUCUGCACUCCCUCCCGCAUGCUCUGCAUAAUGCAGGAAAUGAGGGCAGAGAAUAUGAGACAGUGACGCAGUAAAAGCUCCUUGAAUGAGGAGGUGAGGAGUGGGACAAUGAAUGUGGGUGGACUCAGGAACUCAGUAACUGCAUCACAUUUUUUGACUGAGACAUACUUAUUCACAUGCCACACAAUUGACCCAUUUAAAGUAUGCAAUUCAAUGGCUUUUAGUCUUUUACAGAAUUGUGCAUCCUUGAGCCAAGUCAGAACUGUGGGGUCAGCCCUCAGAUAAUCUACUUUGUGUGUGUGUGUGUGUGUGAAUGUGUAUGAUGUGUGUAUACAUGGGUGCAUGUGAACAUAGACAUGUGAAUUUGUGUGUGCACACAUGUGUGUGGAUGGUGGGGGAGUGGAGAGAGGGACAUCAAGUCCCAGACCAUCCGUAUCUGUGUCUCUUCAGAAAUGUUGCUCAUUCCCUAUUUAUAAAAUAAGCAAAUUUUCUCUACUAAUUCUGUGACUGUAUUUUAUCUGAAGAUCCUGCCUGGAAUUUUAUAUUUUUUUCAUUUUAAACUAUAUGGAACAAAGUCACAUAUAUCACUGUUUCAGGUGACAAAUGAAUUACAAUGUUAAAACUUUCAGGGAAAAAUUUUCCAACACUAAAUUUGCAUUAAUGGAGAGUUCCCGUUGUGGUACAGUGGAAAUGAAUCAACCAAUAUCCACAAGGAUGAGGGUUUAGUCCCCGGCCUUGGACUGGGGACUUGGCAUUGCCGUGAGCCAUGAUGUAGGUCACAGAUGUGGCUCGGAUCCUACAUUACUAUGGCUGUGCUAUAGGCCGGCAGCUAUGGCUCCGAUUCAACCCCUAGACUGGGAACUUCCAUAUGCUGUGGGUGCAGCCCUAAAUAAAUGAAUGAAUGAAUAAAUAAAUAAAUAAAUUCAUAUUAAUGAUUUAGUCUUUUACUCACAAUUUGCAAAUGCCUUGCCAAGGUUAGUUAAGCCUCAGCCAUUCUAAUAAAAGUAAAAUCAUAACUGUUUAAAGCCUGGUGAAAGACGACAUAGAGGAAUCUUCAUUUCAGAAAAUUACAUAAUGCAAUUUACUUCUAUGUUCCAGAAGGGAGUUCGAAUGUUUUCAUCAUCUGUUUUUUUGUGUUUAUACACCCAAGAAGUAUGCAACAUAUUUGUAUGUGUAUGUAUGCAUACACACAUGCAUAUAUAUAUGUAUACAUUGGAACAAAUUACUCAAUUUAAUUAUCUAUAGAAAAUUCUUUACAGGGUUCAGAAAUAACAUAACUAGUAUGAAUAUGUAUAAUAUAAGUAAUACAUACUAUAUAAAAUACAGCAUUUAUUUUAUUACAUAAAAUAUAAACUAUAUCCCAGUAUAAAAAAUCAUAUAAAUAUAUGAUGCCAUAUAUAGUUUAUAUAUUAUAGUUAUAUGUAUGCAAUUGUAAUAUAGAUCUAUUGAAACAUAUAUAUAUAUAUAUUUUAAUUAUAACUGAGGAACUAAUUCAUUCUUAAAUAUUUUUCUGAAAGUCCUGUCCAUAAACAUAGUUUUCACAUUUUCUGGCAUAAAUAAUACAAUGGUUUCCUUUUAAAGUCAUUCCUGUUAUCCAACAUUGAAUAGACUUGUGUCUAAUUAAUAGUGGAGUUUAGAUUCACCGAUUACACACAGAUAUGCAAUCUGACCCCAACAGUCACAUGCAGGGGAAGCCAGUCUGCUAUGAUCUAUAGCCAGUGAACCUGAAAGAAGAGGUGAAAACACAGGUCUGCUGGAGGCAUGGUGUUGGUGACCAGGGAAGAAGAACAGGAAUGAAAUAGUUGGAAUCCAUCCAGUUUGCCAUAGGACACAUCCGAAAACAAGUCCUAGAGAGCCCUGGAGAGAAAUGAUGUGCAAUUAUUCUUUAGUCAAGCAGUCUUCAAGGCUGGAGACCAGUUCAGCCGCUGUGGGAGCACAGGGGCUCUGUGACAUAUGUCCGUGUCUUAUCAGAGGACUGGCUGAGGGCAGACUCUGCCAUGUCAAUGAUGGAAGGGAUUUCAAGAGGCAGGUGAAUCCAGGCAGCUCCUGCUAGUACCAGAGCAGGAGUGAUCCUGAGUUACUGCAGUGUCUCAGCUCCAGAUCUAGUUUCCUUCCCUUAAAGGACCUUAUUCUGAACUUUACCCUGGGAGCUCAACCAUACCCCAGUU